UUCCACACCGUGGGUUCUUUGUCCUUCUGUUCGUUGCAGCAAACCUUGCUGCUGCUCAUUCUGUGGGUCCACACUCCUUUUUUGAGCUGUAACAAUCACCACGAAGGUCUGCAGCUUCAGUCCUGAGGCCAGCGAGACCACGAACCCACCAGAAGGAACAAACAUCUCCAGACGCGCAGCCUUUGAGAGCUGUAGCACUCACUGCGCAGGUCUGCAGCUUCACUCCUGAAGUCAGCGAGACCACAAACCCACCUGAAGGAAGAAAUCUGGACACAUCUGAAGGAACAAACUCCCGACACAUCAUCUUUAAGAACUGUAACACUCACUGCGAGUGUCCGUGGCUUCUUUCUUCGAGUCAGCAAGACCAAGAACCCACCAAUUCCGGAAACAGUACCUACUGCCAUUAUCCCAAUGGCAUAACCAUUUUAUGUCCACAAUUCACUUCUAUAGUUAUAGCUGCUUCUCUUUGCCUUCAAGAGGGACUCGGGAGUGAAGAAUACAAUGACUGCCAAUUCACCUUGGUGCUGUGAUCUUGAUUCCUGCAAACAUACCAGCAGUUUUACCCACCAUCGCUUUUGUACUAUCAGUACAGAGGCCAGUACAGUGGAAAAGGAAAUCUGGUGCUCUUAACCCUCCUGGUAACCAAAGGGGUAUGAGGAUGAAUGAUGCUUGGCUGGUGUGUGCUGCUGUGUGGCAUGCCAGAACAGGGACUGCAGUAUCAGCAUUCACAGACACUGGAGGCUGGCACAGAAAUUGACAAGCUGAUCCUAAAAAUCACAUGAAAAUGUAAAGAAUCCAGCAAUCUCUUGGAAAAGAAGCCAAAACAAUAUUGGAGAAGAAAAACAAAGUUGGAAAACUCACACUUCCUGAUAUCAUAACAUGUCAGUUAUCAUGGAUGCCUAUCAUUUAAGGAAUUUGCAUGUAUCUGGGCAUUAUUGAUAGAAUCCAG
rnacentral:lncRNA from 1 species